CUUAGCUCAGCUGGAUAGAGUACCUGGCUACGAACCAGGCGGUCGGAGGUUCGAAUCCUCCAG
rnacentral:tRNA from 5 species